rnacentral:rRNA from 1 species
UACGAAGGGGGCUAGCGUUGCUCGGAAUUGACUGGGCGUAAAGCGCACGUAGGCGGGUCACUUAAGUCGGGGGUGAAAUCCUGGAGCUCAACUCCAGAACUGCCUCCGAAACUGAUGAUCUUGAGUUCGGGAGAGGUGAGUGGAACUGCGAGUGUAGAGGUGAAAUUCGUAGAUAUUCGCAAGAACACCAGUGGCGAAGGCGGACUCACUGGCCCCGAUACUGACGACUGAGG